rnacentral:rRNA from 1 species
GACGAACGCUGGCGGCGUGCUUAACACAUGCAAGUCGAGCGGAAAGGCCCUUCGGGGUCCUCGAGCGGCGAACGGGUGAGUAACACGUGAGUAAUCUGCCCUUGGCUUUGGGAUAACUACCGGAAACGGUGGCUAAUACCGGAUACGACAACCGUCUGCAUGGGCUGGUUGUGGAAAGUUUUUUCGGCCAGGGAUGUGCUCGCGGCCUAUCAGCUUGUUGGUGGGGUAAUGGCCUACCAAGGCUUCGACGGGUAGCCGGCCUGAGAGGGUGACCGGCCACACUGGGACUGAGACACGGCCCAGACUCCUACGGGAGGCAGCAGUGGGGAAGAUUGGACAAUGGGCGGAAGCCUGAUCCAGCAACGCCGCGUGAGGGAUGACGGCCGUCGGGUUGUAAACCUCUUUCAGUACCGACGAAGCGCCGAUGAUGGUGGUGACGGUAGGUACAGAAGAAGCACCGGCCAACUACGUG